rnacentral:rRNA from 1 species
AUGACCGCCAUCCGCUCCCUCGUGAGCUCCUCUUCCUCGUCAAGGGAGGGCAACGCCAUCUUGGCCGCGAAUGUCUCCUCUGCAGGCGAUUGCUCCCCCAUCAUGAGCGUCAUCCGCGCCCUUAUUGGUGCCUCUUCAUUGUCUGUGCUGGGGUCCUUCUCAAUCUACCAAGGGAGUGCAUAUGCAUCAAGGGAACUUGUACCAGUCUAUCAGGGGAGUGCUUACGGCUUCCGAGAGCUUGUACCUGCUUCAUACCGUAGCUUUCACCCUUGCAAGGUUCUUCCUGCGUCUCUGACAUCAAACAGGAAUUCUUCCCUCAUGCUUGUAAACAUUCUACUCGGUGCUUGGUUUGGAGGAUAUGUCUUGGCUUCAACCGAUGGUCAACCUGGUUCUAUCAUCUUGGAAAAUCUCAAGGAAAAGCUUAAACUCAUCGAAGCAGAGAUUACGGAUCUUGAAAGAAUGAUUGAAGAGUCCGAAGAUUCUGAGCUGGUUACCUUGUUAAAAGAGAAGAUCGAUCGACUCAAAGAUCAGAAAGAGAACCUUGAGACUCUUAUAGAGGAUAUUCUUCAAGUCGAGGAACAGCUGCGCAAGAUUCGUGAGGAAGCAACCUCCGACAAAGAAGAAGCAAAGCGUAAGUUAGCAAUCAUUGGAAGAAAAAUGAUGGAAAAAGAGAGCUCCCAAGAAACAAGCCAUGGCGUAAACUCUUAG